CGCGUAGGCGGUUAAAUAAGUCAGAUGUGAAAGCCCCGGGCUCAACCUGGGAACUGCAUUUGAAACUGUUUAGCUAGAGUGUGGUAGAGGAGAGUGGAAUUUCAGGUGUAGCGGUGAAAUGCGUAGAUAUCUGAAGGAACAUCAGUGGCGAGGGCGGCUCUCUGGACCAACACUGACGCUGAGGUGCGAAAGCGUGGGUAGCAAACG
rnacentral:rRNA from 1 species